UACAGAGGGGGCAAGCGUUGUUCGGAAUUACUGGGCGUAAAGGGCGCGUAGGUGGCCUUCUAAGUUGACCGUGAAAUCCCUGGGCUCAACCCAGGACCUGCGUCCAAGACUGGGAGGCUUGAAUCCGGGAGAGGGAUGCGGAAUUCCAGGUGUAGCGGUGAAAUGCGUAGAUAUCUGGAGGAACACCGGUGGCGAAGGCGGCAGCCUGGACCGGUAUUGACACUGAGGCGCGAAAGCCAGGGGAGCAAACGGG
rnacentral:rRNA from 1 species